GAUGAACGCUGGCGGCGUGCCUAAUACAUGCAAGUCGAGCGAACAGAUGAGGAGCUUGCUCCUCUGACGUUAGCGGCGGACGGGUGAGUAACACGUGGAUAACCUACCUAUAAGACUGGGAUAACUUCGGGAAACCGGAGCUAAUACCGGAUAAUAUAUUGAACCGCAUGGUUCAAUAGUGAAAGACGGUUUUGCUGUCACUUAUAGAUGGAUCCGCGCCGCAUUAGCUAGUUGGUAAGGUAACGGCUUACCAAGGCAAGGAUGCGUAGCCGACCUGAGAGGGUGGUCGGCCACACUGGAACGGAGACACGGUCCAGACUCCUACGGGAGGCAGCAGUAGGGAAUCUUCCGCAAUGGGCGAAAGCCUGACGGAGCAACGCCGCGUGAGUGAUGAAGGUCUUCGGAUCGUAAAACUCUGUUAUUAGGGAAGAACAAAUGUGUAAGUAACUAUGCACGUCUUGACGGUACCUAAUCAGAAAGCCACGGCUAACUACGUG
rnacentral:rRNA from 1 species